UUUUUAACGAGCAGAUAUUUAUAACUGCUACCAAAACCAGGAAUAGUUUACUAAAUAUGGGGGUUUGAAGAUAUUGUCUUUAGCUGGGAAAAGCUUCCAGGCUACAAGAGAGGAUAAAGACAGUGAGUAACAUUUGAGAUGUACUUUAUUUCAUUACCUAACAAACACCUAUCCAGCACUCACAAUGGACAGGCUGUCUUCCAAGCAGGAAAAGAUUAUGGAGCAUAUGCUGUACAUAUGACCUCAUUUAAUCACUAUAGAGUAUAUGUUCAAUGUCUGGAUGUUUUCAAUGUCUGGAUUAAUUCAGCCGUCCAGGAAAGAAGUUUGUGCUUUGCUCUCCAUGGACAACAUCUAGUAAAGGAGACUUAGUCUCAUCGUUCUUCUCUGAGGAGGCAGGAUU
ensembl:lncRNA novel transcript